CACAUUCCCCCACAAAUAGCCUUAUAUAUUGAACGAUGUCGAUUCUGAGUAACACAUACAGAGAUAGAUAGCAUUAUUAUCACCUAACCCCUUUAUUUGUAGUACGUGUGCAAAACGCCACCGUUUUGGAACUAAAAAGAUAGACGGAAGAUAAACCAUUCAAAGGGAAAAAAGCACAAAACGCCAACUUACAAAAAAAACAGCGUCGAAAGUUCCACCUACCUCUCUUCCUUGCAUUAUUAGUAGUAGUAGCUACAAUGAGAAACUCGUUCAAGACUUUUAACAAACACUUUACCUUCCAUAAAAAUCCUCACUCUUUUGGUUUCGUAAUUUCUGCUGCUCCUACUCUCUUACAGCAUUCUACUACUCACCCGAGGCUCUGUUCCUCUCAUCGUCGGACAUAUUCCUCAUCUCCAUCUUCUACGUUAAUGGAAGUAUUCAAAGCAAUUGUUAAACAAGAACUUGCAUCCCAUGGAAAUGUUGCUAUCAGAGCUGAUCAGAAGAAUUAUAGUUACACACAACUUAUCUUGUCGGCACAGAAGAUAUCUAAUAUCUUGUGUGGAAAUAAUGUCAAAGGAAAUCUUGGUGGAGCUCGAAUAGGAAUUGUAGCCAAACCCUCUGCUGAAUUUGUUGCUGGAAUACUUGGGACUUGGCUUAGUGGUGGUGUUGCUGUUCCACUUGCAGUCAGCUAUCCAGAAGUAGAGCUCUUACAUGUUAUUAAUAAUUCGGACACAUCUGCAAUACUGAGUACUGAAGAUCAUAGUGAACUAAUGCAACACAUCGCCAAUAAAACAUCUUCUCAGUUUUUUCAUCUUCCACCUGUUGCUAAUAAAUCUUUAGAGAAGAGCAGAGAUGAACAUUCACAGAAUGGGAAAAUUGAUGCAGAUGGAGUUUUCCUGGAGAAUAUAGAAAGAUCAAGUGAAGAUCCGGCACUAAUUUUGUAUACUAGUGGAACAACAGGUAAACCUAAGGGAGUUGUUCAUACACACAGAAGCAUCAUUUCUCAGGUCCAGUCCUUGACAGAAGCGUGGGAGUACACAUCUGCUGAUCAGUUUUUGCAUUGCCUACCUCUGCAUCAUGUCCACGGUCUUUUCAAUGGUUUACUGGCCCCUCUCUACGCAGGUUCCACGGUUGAGUUUUUGCCAAAAUUUAGUGUCAGGGGAGUUUGGCAGAGAUGGCGUGAGUCAUAUCCAACUGAAGAAUCUAAGGCUGAGGAUGCUAUAACUGUAUUCACUGGAGUUCCAACUAUAUAUGCCCGACUAUUACAAGGUUAUCGUGCGAUGGAUCCUGAGCUACAAGCCGCAUCAGCAUCUGCUGCAAGGAACUUGCGUUUAAUGAUGUGUGGCUCCGCAGCACUUCCUCAACCUGUUAUGAUAGAAUGGGAAGCCGUCACUGGGCAUCGCUUAUUGGAGCGAUAUGGCAUGACUGAAUUUGUCAUGGCAUUGUCAAAUCCAUUGAAAGGUGAGCGUAAGGCAGGCACAGUUGGUAAACCAUUGCCUGGUGUGCAGGUUAAGAUUCUUGAAGAUGAGGAGGGUGGGAGUGAAAAAACUGGAGCCGGUGGUGAGCUUUGCGUUAAAAGCCCUUCAUUGUUUAAAGAAUAUUGGAAACUUCCAGAGAGAGCCUUCUCCCACACCAAGAAAAGAUCAAAUUCCAUAUGUUUUGUUCAAGGAUGCAAAACUAGUUUAUGGGCAAGUGAGACAAUACUCUGAUUGUCACAAAAAACAACAAGAUUGGUGACUGAAAUUUCGAGCUCAUUCAAGAGUGAGACAAUACUGCUGUAACUUGAGCCGGAUUUUGAUAUUCUGCUUCAUUAGUGCUACAUGCGAUCAUUGUUUGUUUGCAGGACCACCAAGAAACUAAGUUGGGCCCAAGAUAAACUGCAGCCCUAGAUGUAGAAUGGCGAUCAUCAUCAGGGUCUUUUGGCCCUCAAAGUAAGAGGUUUAUGCAAUUUAGGAAAUUGAAGUAGGAGUCCACAGUGAGCAGUAUCCUUAAGUACUUUAGGAUUCUUUUGACAACAACCUAGUGAGUGUUCAACGGGAAGGAUAUAAAUUGACAAACUUUGUUAACAUCAUAGUUGAUAUUGGGAUGUGUAAUCGAGCCCCAACUACUGAAGGAUAGAUAGAGGGUUCAGUCACGAGAUGGAACACCAUGUUUUGACAAUUUGGUACUGUUGACCACAGGUAUGGUAAUUGGUUUUGCACUAGUCAUGCUUGUCUUGGGCAGCAAGUCACAGAUGUUCAUGCUUUGAGUAAGUAAAUGGAACCAUUGGGCUGAUUUUAUUCUUAUAAAUAAUGGUGGAUUGGUGGCAUAGGUGAUAUAACGCUGAUAGUGGCUGGGGUGGGAGAGUUAGAGAGUAGAGUGAUAAGGGAGGUCCGGCGUUCGAUUCCCACCCUUAGCGUUAUACUAGCAAUACUAACUUUGACUGUUUAAAAAAAACGAUGGCACUAAUAGCCAUUUUACAACUGUUCCAUAUGGGAUUUGAACUCUUACCAUAAGCUGACCUCGAUGCCCAAAAAUAGGAUCCUUGAUUUUGGAUCCUUGGCAGUCAGGUAACAAAGGAAUCAUUUACAGAAGAUGGAUUCUUUAAGACCGGAGAUGCAGUUACAACAGAUAAAGAUGGAUAUUACA